AUGAUAUAUAAAGCAUGCAAUUCUGCACUGAAGGACGCAACUUAUCGUCACUCUUCCUUGUACAGUAAGGCGCUCGAGAUUGUUCAAAUGGGGGAUAAGAACACUGAAGCUUAUGGAGCUGCAAUGAAGCAGUUGCUGGACGCAAUAAGUGUUCUAAAUGAUAUCAACCAGUAGAGCGAUGGCGGGUUAAAUGACCAGGCCACUGUUCAAGCACAUGACCAAGAUGUCCCUGUGACACCAGGAGCAAAUGGUCUGUCAGGUUCAAUGAAUGUUGUAUCACGCAAGAGGGACCGAGGCAGGCCAACAAAUGCAAGAGCAAAGCCAGGUUAUGAAAAUGUCAGCAAGCCAAGAACAAAGUUUUGCUCAAUUUGUAGAGGGAGGGGUCACAAAGCAUCAGGAUGCCCCUCAUAUGGAGGUGUAGCAAAGAAACAAAGGAAAGUUCCAAAGUGUACAAAGUGCGGCCUAGAAGGCCACAAGAGGAAUAACUGCUCAGGAAGAAUGUUCGGCGUCUUCCAAUGA
rnacentral:rRNA from 1 species